UACGGAGGGGGCUAGCGUUGUUCGGAAUUACUGGGCGUAAAGCGCACGUAGGCGGAUAGUUAAGUCGGGGGUGAAAUCCCGGGGCUCAACCCCGGAACUGCCUUCGAUACUGGCUGUCUGGAGGUCGAGAGAGGUGAGUGGAAUUCCGAGUGUAGAGGUGAAAUUCGUAGAUAUUCGGAGGAACACCAGUGGCGAAGGCGGCUCACUGGCUCGAUACUGACGCUGAGGUGCGAAAGCGUGGGGAGCAAACAGG
rnacentral:rRNA from 2 species